GACGAACGCUGGCGGCGUGCCUAAUACAUGCAAGUAGAACGCUGGAGGAGGAGCUUGCUCUUCUGGAUGAGUUGCGAACGGGUGAGUAACGCGUAGGUAACCUGCCUGGUAGCGGGGGAUAACUAUUGGAAACGAUAGCUAAUACCGCAUAAGAGUAGAUGUUGCAUGACAUUUGCUUAAAAGGUGCAAUUGCAUCACUACCAGAUGGACCUGCGUUGUAUUAGCUAGUUGGUGGGGUAACGGCUCACCAAGGCGACGAUACAUAGCCGACCUGAGAGGGUGAUCGGCCACACUGGGACUGAGACACGGCCCAGACUCCUACGGGAGGCAGCAGUAGGGAAUCUUCGGCAAUGGACGGAAGUCUGACCGAGCAACGCCGCGUGAGUGAAGAAGGGUUUCGGAUAGUAAAGCUCUGUUGUAAGGGAAGAACGAGUGUGAGAGUGGAAAGUUCACACUGUGACGGUAUCUUACCAGAAAGGGACGGCUAACUACGUG
rnacentral:rRNA from 1 species